rnacentral:lncRNA from 1 species
AUGAGUGAGUCGUGCGAGUGCCUUACUUUUAAAAUGCCAUUGCUUGAGAAACAAGAAAACGGCGAGCAAGUGCUGGUGAAAAAUGAAACCUAUCUUCAAAUUUUAAAAAACAAAGAUCAACGGAGGAGACUUGUACAUGAAAUCUGCACCUUUUUGGACAGCAGCCAGUCUGUGCAGGAGAUUGAUGCCCUGAGAACGGAAAACAGGAAGCUAAAAAAUGCGAACUCAAGACUGCGUUAUAAAACAAAAGAUUGGGCCCUCAAGAAAGAAGAAUAUGAAAACGAGAUUGAAAGACUUUCGGGUGAGAUAUCUAAUUAUUUGAAUGUCACCAAUUUCUGGUAUGAAGAGUCUGAACUUCUCAACAACCAAGAUAAACGAACCUUAAGUGAACAAAGAAAACAUGUCAGCACUCAGACGGAGGCUAUGUUUGGAAUGGAGAAGCGGACUGUUGAAACUCAGACUGGAGAAGAUUUCUCAAGCUAUGUUCUUGAAGAGUCAUUAUCACAGGAUGAGUUUGAGUAGCAGAAAUCCCGCAUAACCUGAGAAAUGGGGAGCUUUUAUGGUUAAUAUUUUAAAUUUUAUUGAACAUAUUAACAUAUUUAUAGCUAUUUAACUCUAUGACAAAUAAAGAUAUUUUAAUUCUGCUGUGUUUUGAUUAG